UGCAUUGCCAGUCCAAAGGAGUCCCUGAGUCAAAAUUAACUCGAUUCAGUGACUGUGCAAUAGUGCACAUCAUGCAAAAGUAAUUGACUACCAUGAUUAAUUGCAAAGUUGGAAAAGUGCUUUGAAAGCAUCAUCUUGACUACAGCCUUCUUUGUGUGGCUUUAAUUAGAAGAGGUAUCGCAAAAGGCAUUUACAGCUGCCAACCUAAAAGAUUAGCUAGUGUCAGGUACAACCUUUGCAGAUAAUUUCGUAAACCGCACCCUAGAGGCCAGCUCAGUUUAAAUCUUCUUUAGCUUUUCCAUCAGUGGUACAUUUGGCUGUAGCUCGAUUGCAAAGCCGAUCAUU